CAAUAGCGUAUAUUUAAGUUGCUGCAGUUAAAAAGUUCGUAGUUGGAUUUCGGGUGGGAAUGGCCGGUCCGCCGUUUCGGUGUGCACUUGCUACGCCCACCUUGCUGCCGGGGACGUGCUCUUGAGUUCACGCUCGGGACACGGAGUCGGCGAGGUUACUUUGAGUAAAUUAGAGUGUUCAAAGCAGGCCUACGCUCUGAAUACAUUAGCAUGGAAUAACACGAUAGGACUCUGGCCUAUCUUGUUGGUCUGUAGGACCGGAGUAAUGAUUAAGAGGGACAGUCGGGGGCACUCGUAUUUCAUUGUCAGAGGUGAAAUUCUUGGAUUUAUGAAAGACGAACUACUGCGAAAGCAUUUGCCAAGGAUGUUUUCAUUAA
rnacentral:rRNA from 1 species